rnacentral:rRNA from 1 species
AUUGAACGCUGGCGGCAGGCCUAACACAUGCAAGUCGAACGAGCGGCGGACGGGUGAGUAAUGUCUGGGAAACUGCCUGAUGGAGGGGGAUAACUACUGGAAACGGUAGCUAAUACCGCAUACCAUCAGAUGUGCUCAGAUGGUAUUAGCUAGUUGGUGGGGGAAGGGCUCACCAAGGCGACGCUCCCUAGCUGGUCUGAGAGGAUGACCUGCCACACUGGAACUGAGACACGUGCCAGACUCCUACGGGAGGCAGCAGUGGGGAAUAUUGCACAAUGGGCGAAAGCCUGAUGCAGCCAUGCCGCGUGUAUGAAGAAGGCCUUCGGGUUGUAAAGUACGUUCAGCGGGGAGGCGUUACUCGCAGAAGAAGCACCGGCUAACUACGUGCCAGCAGCCGCGGUAAUUC